GAAACGGCUGCUAAUACCGCAUACGCCUCACGAGGGAAAGAUUCAUCGCCUUGGGAUGGGUCCGCGUCGGAUUAGCUUGUUGGUGGGGUAAAGGCCUACCAAGGCGACGAUCCGUAGCUGGUCUGAGAGGAUGAUCAGCCACACUGGGACUGAGACACGGCCCAGACUCCUACGGGAGGCAGCAGUGGGGAAUAUUGCGCAAUGGGGGAUACCCUGACGCAGCGAUGCCGCGUGGGUGAAGAAGGCCUUCGGGUUGUAAAGCCCUUUUAGUAGGGAAGAUAGUGACGGUACCUACAGAAAAAGCUCCGGCUAACUCCGUGCCAGCAGCCGCGGUAAUACGGAGGGGGCGAGCGUUGUUCGGAAUUACUGGGCGUAAAGGGCGCGUAGGCGGUUUGGCAAGUCAGGAGUGAAAGCCAUGGGCUCAACCCAUGAACGGCUCUUGAAACUGCGAGACUAGAGUCCGGCAGAGGAUGGUGGAAUUCCCCGUGUAGAGGUGAAAUUCGUAGAUAUGGGGAGGAAGACCAGAGGCGAAGGCGGCCAUCUGGACCGGUACUGACGCUGAGGCGCGAAAGCGUGGGGAGCAAACA
rnacentral:rRNA from 1 species